UAUGUAGGUGGCGAGCGUUGUCCGGAUUUAUUGGGUUUAAAGGGUGCGUAGGCGGUCCUAUAAGUCAGUGGUGAAAUAUCGCAGCUCAACUGUGAGGGUGCCAUUGAUACUGUAGGACUUGAGUGAAUUUGAGGUAGGCGGAAUUGACGGUGUAGCGGUGAAAUGCUUAGAUAUCGUCAAGAACACCGAUAGUGAAGACAGCUUACCAAGCUUCAACUGACGCUGAGGCACGAAAGUGUGGGGAUCAAACAGG
rnacentral:rRNA from 1 species